rnacentral:rRNA from 1 species
UACAGAGGAUGCAAGCGUUAUCCGGAAUGAUUGGGCGUAAAGCGUCUGUAGGUGGCUUUUUAAGUCCGCCGUCAAAUCCCAGGGCUCAACUCUGGACAGGCGGUGGAAACUACCAAGCUGGAGUACGGUAGGGGCAGAGGGAAUUUCCGGUGGAGCGGUGAAAUGCGUAGAGAUGUGGAGGAACACCGAUGGCGAAGGCAGCCUCCUGGGUCAAUAUUGACGCUCAGGCACGAAAGCGUGGGGAGCAAACAGG